rnacentral:rRNA from 1 species
GACGAACGCUGGCGGCGUGCCUAAUAUAUGCAAGUCGAACGCUGAAGGAGGAGCUUGCUUCUCUGGAUGAGUUGCGAACGGGUGAGUAACGCGUAGGUAACCUGCCUGGUAGCGGGGGAUAACUAUUGGAAACGAUAGCUAAUACCGCAUAAUAGUAGAUGUUGCAUGACAUUUGCUUAAAAGGUGCAAUUGCAUCACUACCAGAUGGACCUGCGUUGUAUUAGCUAGUUGGUGGGGUAACGGCUCACCAAGGCGACGAUACAUAGCCGACCUGAGAGGGUGAUCGGCCACACUGGGACUGAGACACGGCCCAGACUCCUACGGGAGGCAGCAGUAGGGAAUCUUCGGCAAUGGACGGAAGUCUGACCGAGCAACGCCGCGUGAGUGAAGAAGGUUUUCGGAUCGUAAAGCUCUGUUGUAAGAGAAGAACGAGUGUGAGAGUGGAAAGUUCACACUGUGACGGUAGCUUACCAGAAAGGGACGGCUAACUACGUG